rnacentral:rRNA from 1 species
UACGUAGGGUGCAAGCGUUGUCCGGAAUUAUUGGGCGUAAAGAGCUCGUAGGCGGUCUGUCGCGUCGGCUGUGAAAACCCGGAGCUCAACUCCGGGCCUGCAGUCGAUACGGGCAGACUGGAGUUCGGCAGGGGAGACUGGAAUUCCUGGUGUAGCGGUGAAAUGCGCAGAUAUCAGGAGGAACACCGGUGGCGAAGGCAGGUCUCUGGGCUGACACUGACGCUCAUGCACGAAAGCGUGGGGAGCAAACAGG